AAUUGCCUUCCAGGACCUUCCCCAACCACCUACACAAAUAUAACUGGAUUUACAGCAGAUCAAUUGCUGAAAUUUUUAAGUAACUUUUUAAAAACCUCCACAAAUGUCUUAGGUAGAGCAGAAUAUAUACACAGAACAUAUUAUUGGCAUUUUUCCAAUGUGGAAGUUAAAUUGUUUGACUCUUAGAAAAACAAUUUCUGUGAAACUUUCAGAACUCAUUUGAAUUAUUUCUCCUUACAGGAUAGACUCAAGACUUUUAUCACGUCCUUCCUUGGCUGAAGAAAAAGAGAUUAAGCCAUUGUUUUCUUCAUUUAUACAACGAGAUAGAAAUAUUGUCAGAACUGCCCUGAGAUUGCACUUGUUGUGAAAAAAAAAUUAGAUCAGAUUAAAAAAAAAAAGGUGUUUGUAGCUUUAUAAAAACAAGUCCUUAAUACUUCUUAAGGGAUCAUUUGAACUUCCCGGCUUAGAAAAUUGCUGCUUUAAUUUUCUUUCAAAAGGGCACUUCAAGCUGAAAUUUAUAAUUCUCCUUUAAGUCUAAAACAGAAGUUACAUGAUACUACCUGCAAUUUUUCUAACUAAAAACAACCAGAUUCACAUGCUCCGAACUUGGAAAAUGAAUUUGUUACAUGACUGUGGUAACAAGAGAUGCAUUGCAUAAACAGUGGGGAGUUGGUGUAUUCCCAAAGUUUUUCAUUUAUUGGAUUUUACUUUCUAUAAUUUAAUAUUUGAAAUAAAAGAAAUUGUAGUAGGUAAAUAAAGCCAAGUUCUCUAGAGACAGAAAAUUCUAGAUUUUUAAUCUGUCUGCACAACUAAUGAUCUCUAUGACUGUGUGUCUCAGUUUGCUUAUUUUGAAAAUGAGGAUGUUCAUUUCACAUUGUAGUUUGGAUGAUUAAUUGUGCUUACUGCAUAUAACGCACUCAGCAUAAUAUGUGUUCAAAAAUAAAAUAUCAUAACGCCUAAAAUAUCCAAAUAAUCAAGUUAUAUUUGUCAGAGUUCUUUCAUACAUAGAUCAUUUAAGUCAAAUUCAGAAUAGUUAAACAAAAAAACAAACAAUACAAUAAGUAUUAAUAUACAGAGAUUUGACUGGCGGGAUUUUAGGAGUACAAAUCAUGCCAGCAGGAUUUUAUUUUAUUCAUCCCUCACUUGGGUCUUUGUAUCUGUUGGCUUUAUUUUCAGUAAAGAUGUCUCCAUAUAAUAGUAAACUUGUUGGUCAUUUGUUCAGACUUAUUUGUUUCUCAGAAAUUCUAGACACAGAACUCCCCAAUGUCUAGAAAAAUGCUGAAUAAGAGCUUUGGUUGGCCUUGAAUUGAGUUGGGUCUCUAACCUAAACCAUCACAAUGGCCAGGAAAUGGCUGUUCUCUGAUCUGCUUCAUGAGACCCUGUGCUUCACAUUAUGUCAGGAGAGAAUCAGGUAAGCUUCUUUAAAACACAGAAGAGAUUCUGUUACCAGGAGAUGGGAUGGUUAAGCAUGUAGGGAAGAAAAAAAAAAUCUAUCUAGCUCUCUAUUCAUCUAUCUAUCUAUCUCUAUUUAUCUGUCUACAAAUCCUAGGCUUCUCUUCCAAUUGCCGUCAAUCAUUUUGGAGUCAUCAAUAAUUUAAGAGUUUUAAAAAGGGGUACUGAGAACAAAAUACGAUCAACUUUGAUGCUCUAUUGGUAGAUAGAUGCAAUAUGUUAAACAAGAAAAUAUUAAACACAGAAAAGUACCUAAUCACAUAUUCCACUACCUGUGAGAAUAAUGUCACACAAGUAAUGUAGCUUUGGAAAACUUAACUGAUAAUAUGACAGUGAAAAGGACAAGAUAGCAGCUUUGUAAAUUAAUUUUGUCCUCAUGGAAGUCCUAAAAGUGUCUAGCAGAGGCCCAGGUAUCUGCAGACCCCACAUUCAAAAAGCCUGCUCGAGCCCAUCAUGUCACCAUAUAUGGGAAAUACACAAGAAAUCUUUCCCUCCCCUCCAAGCAUACAGCCACUUCCGUGGAUAAGGUGGAACUAAUUCACUCUACUGUAGCCAACUCUAGCAGUUCUAACUGUUAUAAUGCCACUGGGAUAAUCUUUAUAGGCUUCAAAUUUAAAAGCCAUAGACUUAUUCAGCAUAUUUAACUACUUUCUAUUUCUGUACAUAAUGGAUCAAACCCACUUUAUAUUAUAUAAUUUUUUUUUAAAUUUGGGUCUUGCCUCUUCUUUCAUCUCUUCAUUGCAUUCUAUGUUUGAACAAUACUAAACAAGAUGAUCAGAAAAAUGCGCUCAGAGACCUUUACUUAAAACAAUGCUCUGGCAUCUCCUAUAAUUCAUUUCAGUAUUUCUCACCAUAAAGUUCACUCAAACAAAACUUUUCAAUUUAUAGUAUUUUAUUUGUAUCCAAGAGGUAGGUUUACUUACAAUUUAUAUAUGUUCCUUGAUACUUUCAACAUGGAUUCAAACUCCCAAUUAAACUUAAAAAACAUCAGGGGAAUAAACUCAAAGGAUACUUGUCUUGAAAGAUUGCCCUAGAACUCUGCAAACGACCACUCAAUUUGUAAACGGGAUCACUAAUUAAAUGUGAAAUAUAUGCAUGUCCAUUUGGAUGAUCAGGAUUGUAACUGUAGGACCUCACUUACAAAUCCAAUUCUGCAUCGUUUCUUUUACAUUUCAAAUUAAGAGAAACAAUUCUAUUUUUAGAUUUGUGUCAUAAAACUAUAAUAUUUUUAUUACUAAAUUUUAAUGGAAAUGUUUAUGAUUAUUUGAGUCUGUGUCUGCACACAAAAAUCUGAGUUUGUAAAUUGAAUAUGUGAUAUAAAAUUUCUUAUAUUUGUAAAAAUUUACAUUAUGUCUCAUAUAGCUCAAGUGCUUUGUAAUAAAUUAUAUGACAUAGUCUUUAAAUGUACAUAAUGAAAUGUCUAAUACGGAAAUACCUGUUUGAAAGUUUUUUCUUAAAAAUAAAUGUCAAUGAGAAGGCAAAAUUUAUUUAUUCAUUUAUUUUAUUUUAUUUUAUUUUUUUGAGACAAGGUUCUGCUCUGUCAUCCAGGCUGGAGUGCAGUGACACGAUCACAGCUCAUUGCAGCCUCUACCUCCUAGUCUCAAGUAAUUCCCCUACCUCAGCCUCCCAAGUAGCUGGGACUACAGGCACGUGCCACAAUGCCCAGCUAAUUUUUGUAUUUUUAGUAAAGACAGGGUUUUGCCAUGUUGCCCAGGAUUGUCUCGAAUUCCUGGGCUCAAGCUAUCUUCCUGUCUCUGCUUCCCGAAGUGCUGAGAUUACAGGCAUAAGCCAUAAGCCACUGUCCUUGGAAAAAAAAAUUAAUUUCUAAUUGUUGUAAUAAUUAAAGGAGCUAUGUAC
rnacentral:lncRNA from 1 species